GGUUAUUUAGGCUUUAUACAGUGAAUAGUAGUGUCGCUUCUAUAGGUUAUAUAUCGUAUUUGAAGCAUGUGUACGCAAUUUAAAAAUAAUAAGUUAUUAACCAGUUAACGAUUUUGUAUUGUGUUUAUAGUGCUGCUGACAUUACCCGUAAUUCGUCAAGUCAAUAGCAUGCCAGUUGUAAGGAUACGUUCAGACUCCAGGAUUAUUUUGUCGCGGUGUAAAUCCAAACGCCCACUUGUUCAUACGGGCCAUUUUGUGGCGGUACAAACAUAAGCGCCGAUACGUUUAGACGAGCCAUUUCGUGAUGCAAGCGGCGUAAAUGCAAAUGAGGCCUUGUUCGGACGAGCCACUUCGCGACGCGAUAGAAAAACUUUUCCGUCACGUCACGCUACGAUAAAGUAGCCCGUCUAGAUGCACCCGAAAAUUCAAUAAUUAUUGUUGCGACGUAAUAACAACUUUAUCAGUAGAAUGAAUAGGACUCUAAAAGGACUUCUACGAUUAUAUCCAAUAACGCGGAAUUGGGCGGUUUUAUCAAAGUACAUAGUGCCAUUACAAUCAAUGCAGAGAGUGUGGCGAGCUUACAGUACCAGUUUAACAGGUAACAGAAUAUUUUAUACAUGUUUGCAUUACACAUU
rnacentral:lncRNA from 13 species